GAAGACCUGUAUGAAUGGCAUAACGAGGGCCUAACUGUCUCCUUUUUCCAGUCAAUGAAAUUGAUCCCCCCGUGCAGAAGCGGGGAUAUAAUCAUAAGACGAGAAGACCCUGUGGAGCUUUAGACACCAGGUCAGACCUUGUUCAACAUUCCUCCUAUAAAGGAUACAACCAAAGGACUCUGUCCUAAUGUCUUCGGUUGGGGCGACCCCGGAGAACACAAAACCUCCAUGUGGAAUAGGAGAACUUCUCCCACAACCAAGAGUAGCCACUCUAAGCAAUAGAAUUUCUAACCAGAAGAUCCGGCAAAGCCGAUUAACRAACUAAGUUACCCCAGGGAUAACAGCGCAAUCCUCUUUCAGAGUCCCUAUCGACAAGAGGGUUUACGAC
rnacentral:rRNA from 1 species